rnacentral:rRNA from 1 species
GCUGAGAGGUGGUACAUGGCCGUCGUCAGUUCGUACUGUGAAGCAUCCUGUUAAGUCAGGCAACGAGCGAGACCCACGCCCACAGUUGCCAGCGUACUCUCUGGAGUGACGGGUACACUGUGGGGACCGCCGCUGCUAAAGCGGAGGAAGGAAUGGGCAACGGUAGGUCAGUAUGCCCCGAAUAUCCCGGGCUACACGCGAGCUACAAUGGUUGGUACAAUGGGUAUCUACCCCGAAAGGGGACGGGAAUCUCCUAAAACCAAUCUUAGUUCGGAUUGAGGGCUGCAACUCGCCCUCAUGAAGCUGGAAUCCGUAGUAAUCGCGUUUCAACAGAACGCGGUGAAUACGUCCCUGCUCCUU